GUCUACGGCCAUGCCACCCUGAACGUGCCCAAUCUCGUCUGAUCUCGGAAGGUAAGCAGGGUUGGGCCUGGUUAGUACUUGGAUGGGAGACCACCUAGGAAGACCAGGUGCUGUAGGUA
rnacentral:rRNA from 1 species